GUGCUUUCUUAAGAUCAACUCAGUGCUUUCAGAGGCUAACAGAAGGCAGAGUGAGUCUCCGCAAAAGCCAGAGUGGAGAUUCGGAAAACUCCUCCCCUGAGCCUGCCAGGAGUGAUUUCU